rnacentral:rRNA from 1 species
UACGGAGGGGGCUAGCGUUGUUCGGAAUUACUGGGCGUAAAGCGCGCGUAGGCGGACCUGCAAGUCGGGGGUGAAAGCCCGAGGCUCAACCUCGGAACUGCCUUCGAUACUGCGGGUCUCGAGUCCGGGAGAGGUGAGUGGAAUUCCUAGUGUAGAGGUGAAAUUCGUAGAUAUUAGGAAGAACACCAGUGGCGAAGGCGGCUAUCUGGCCCGUAAUUGACGCUGAGGCGCGAAAGCGUGGGGAGCAAACAGG